AUGGUGGUCUUAAACAAUGUGUGCGACAUUCCUCUAAGUCAGUUGCCCACGCCUUGCCUCAAAGGUGAUAGAUUAGCCAUUACCAUUCCUGAAGAAGAAUACAAACUUGGAGUGGAUGCUUGCAAACACCAUCUUCAUGGGAGGGUCAUAUGGUUAAAAGGUGUUACUCCUCUAACAGUGGUUAACCUAAAAAACAAACUCUUGGAGUUAUGGCCGGCAAUUGGAAAAUGGGGUGUCACCUCACUAGGAAAAUGA